UACGAAGGGGGCUAGCGUUGCUCGGAAUUACUGGGCGUAAAGGGCGCGUAGGCGGACAGUUUAGUCAGAGGUGAAAGCCCAGGGCUCAACCUUGGAAUUGCCUUUGAUACUGGCUGUCUUGAGUUCGGGAGAGGUGAGUGGAAUGCCGAGUGUAGAGGUGAAAUUCGUAGAUAUUCGGCGGAACACCAGUGGCGAAGGCGACUUACUGGUCCAUUACUGACGCUGAGGCUCGAAAGCGUGGGGAGCAAACAGG
rnacentral:rRNA from 1 species